GGGCAUUUCCUUGUGAUGGUAUAAAUGGCCCGUUCUGCAGACAGGGGCUCAGUGAUCUGUAUCAGACCCGAGUGCAGCGAUCAAGAUGAUGUCACACAGCUGUUUGCUGAUCAUAUUAACCAUUUGGGCUCAUGGAUCCUGUGGACAGAUUGUGAUGACUCAGACUCCAGACUCUGUCUCUGUGUCACCAGGAGAACGCGUCACCAUGACAUGUAUAGCCAGUAGUAAUGUUAACAGCUAUGUAGCCUGGUACCAACAGAAACCAGGACAACCCCCAAAGCCCCUUAUCUAUGCUGCCAGCACCAGAUACAGCGGGACCCCAGAGCGGUUCAGCGGCAGCGGGUCGGGAACUGAUUACACUUUUACCAUCAGCGGAGCGAAAACAGAAGAUGCAGCAGAUUAUUACUGUCAGUACUAUUACAGCACCCCUCUCACAGUGAUACAGAGCCGUACAAAAACCUUCCUCUUUUUCACCAAAUCUGCAGCAUCAGAUAUGAUCUGUUUAGCUGCUAUGUGGAGUAUUUAUACAGCUAAAGACAAGGAUAUGCUACAGCGUGUAAAUAUGUGCAUUAACUUUAUGUUUUGGUCCCUUCUUCAUUAUACUUAUAUAAAACUCCAAAUAUUUUAGAAAUUUGCACUAUGCAUUGAAAUGUAUUG